UUAGCUAUGGCAGCACUAAUAGAUCCAAGGAUUAAACUACAUAUGCUUAAAGAAGCUUAUCAUAAACUGGAUCCUAGAACUUCUGAGAAAAAGAUUGAAAUAGUCAAGAAUAACUUGGAAUUGCUUAUAAAGAGUAUAGUUCAAAGACUUCAGAAAGUUUUCUUCCAAACUUCCAAGAAAAACUUCACAUGAACUCCUUACAUAAUCACUUUUUGAAGAUGAUUUUGAUGAUGUAAGAUUCUUAUAUAAAAUUUCUGUUUAUUUUAACUUCUUAAUAACUGGCUAAUUGCUUUUUUACCUCUGAUUUUAUUUGAAUACAUGAUCUGCUUGAGUUUGAAAGGUGUAUCCAGUUUGGUUCAAACAACGAAAGGACAAAUCUGGACAUGUAUUUGGCUGAUACCAAAGUUGACAUUUCGGCUUUCUCAGAUAUGGAGGUCUUAAACUAUUGGAGAGAUAAGCAACACAUAUAUGGUGACUUAGCUUUGCUUGCCCGUGAUAUUCUCAGCAUGCAUAUCACUAAUGUUGCGUAUAUAUGAGUCUGCGUUUAGUGUGGGAGGUAGAGUUUAGAGCUCUUUUAGAAACCGUCUCUUUCCUAAAAUUGUUCAAGCACUGAUCUGUACGCGAAAAUGUUUACACGGGUUUUUUUGAGUUUGAAGGAGACAUUGAGGAGUACUUUGAUUAUGAUGAUGAGGAUGCUAAUAAAAGAGCAAGUAGCUCAGGAAAUGAAGAUUCAAACAUGUGGUAAAUACUCUGUUUUAAGUUCUUGACUUUUUGUUAAUUACUUGUGAAUGUGUCACUGACUCGUGAAUGGUUGUGUUUGGCCUGUGUUCUCUCAGUUAUUUUCUCAUUUGAAUGUGUCUUCUUUGAAUGUGUGACUGCAAUUUAGAGAUUCUGAAACAGGUUUUAGUACUUCGGUCUU